rnacentral:tRNA from 1 species
GGGGAGGUAGCGAAGCGGUUAAACGCAACAGACUGUAAAUCUGUCGGCCUCAGGCCUUCGGUGGUUCGAAUCCGCCCCUCCCCA